CACGAGGUACAUUUUGAAGAGGAAAGGAAGAGACGAAGACUCGUACAGUUAUUACUCAUUUGGUCUUUCUUUCUUUUGUUUAUUAACAAUGGAACUUCAUUUCUUCUUCCUUUCUUCCUUUCUUCCUUUCUUCCUUCAUCAACCCAUUCUCUCUCUCUCUCUCAUCCCUCUCUUUCUCUCUCUAUUACUCAUCCCUUCCCUAUGCUCCCUUUCCUGUCACCUUCCUCGCCGUGAUUUCUCCUCGGAGUCCGGUAGAUCUUUCCCAUUUCGGACUGGUUCACGCUGCCGUGUAGAAGGAUAAGAAAUCACCAUGGCUGAUAACGAAACUGCAGUUCCAAAAUUUGGUGAAUGGGAUGAUGGGGAUGCAAAAGCACCGGAGAACUACACAGCUAUUUUCAACAAGGUGCGGGAAGAGCGGCAAGAUCAAACAGUGCGAGGGACACCAACACGGCUGAUUGACAGCACAAACAGCCAAAAUCAUGAACAGAAUCAAAAGAAAUGCUGUUGUUUUCCAUGGCCAAGAAAAUGAUAUUGUUCUACAUCUUCAUUAGCUCAGUUUUACAUGGACAUGUGAAUAUAUAUUUUAUUUGAAGGAAAGAAUCUGUUGGGCUGCAACAAAUAUCCUUCUGUGCCAUCUAAUGUAAGUGUUUGUUUGUGGGCAAAUAAAGUUCUGGGAAAAAGACAAAAUCUGGGGUGUUUUGGGUUAUAUUAUUUUUAAUUAUUACUUGAAAUUUUUACUUUUGCUUGUGAUGUAUUCUUCACUCUAAUAAUUGUAUUGUGAGGUUUGGCUUAUUUUGGUUACUAUUUAUC